UACGGAGGGUGCAAGCGUUAUCCGGAUUCACUGGGUUUAAAGGGUGCGUAGGCGGCUUACUAAGUCAGUGGUGAAAGCCCGCAGCUCAACUGUGGAACUGCCAUUGAAACUGAUAGGCUAGAGUAUAAUUGAAGUGGGUGGAAUAUAUCAUGUAGCGGUGAAAUGCUUAGAUAUGAUAUAGAACCCCGAUUGCGAAGGCAGCUCACUAAGUUAUUACUGACGCUGAGGCACGAAAGCACGGGUAGCAAACAGG
rnacentral:rRNA from 1 species